rnacentral:rRNA from 1 species
GGGGGAAUAUUGCACAAUGGGGGGAAACCCUGAUGCAGCAACGCCGCGUGAGUGAAGAAGUAUUUCGGUAUGUAAAGCUCUAUCAGCAGGGAAGAAAAUGACGGUACCUGACUAAGAAGCCCCGGCUAACUACGUGCCAGCAGCCGCGGUAAUACGUAGGGGGCAAGCGUUAUCCGGAUUUACUGGGUGUAAAGGGAGCGUAGACGGCGAGGCAAGUCUGAAGUGAAAGCCCGGGGCUCAACCCCGGGACUGCUUUGGAAACUGUCUUGCUGGAGUGCUGGAGAGGUAAGUGGAAUUCCUAGUGUAGCGGUGAAAUGCGUAGAUAUUAGGAGGAACACCAGUGGCGAAGGCGGCUUACUGGACAGUAACUGACGUUGAGGCUCGAAAGCGUGGGGAGCAAACAGGAUUAGAUACCCUGGUAGU